AGAUGCGCAGAAGCCAGGGAUCUCUGGGGUGUCUGAGAGCUGCUCCCCGGCCAACGGUGAGAAAGAGCGAAUCACCCUCAUCUCCAUGAAGAACAUCAACACCAACAACAGCAAGGGCUGCUCCACGGCAGAAAAGGUGUUAUAGAUACCUCCGGGACCUCGGGGGAGCCCCCGGCACAGCGCGGACGACCCCCUCGUCGCCGGCGGGGAGGUCGGGGAGGACGACCGCAGCCCGUGUAAAUGAUUUCAUCCACGCGAGUCCGCGUCUGGUUCCCGGAGACCCCGAUCCGGGCAACCCGGCCGGCGGGAGCCGCCCCCCUCCCUCCCCGAGCAGCCCACGGCCGGGCCCCUCCCUCCGCGAGGACGGAUGACACGCCGAGCCCUGCGGAAAGCAGCUCAACUGACCCGUCCCCCGACUCUUCAGGGAACGACCCCCGACCCCCCCAAUCCCUCUGGCCCCGGAACGGCCCCGAUGGGCAGCCGGGCCUGGGGGCCUGCGCAGGUGGGUCUGAGAUGGAAAGAAGCGUUAGGGUAGAUUUUCCAUUCGUAUUUAAAAAUCGAGCUCCUCGAGGGCAGGGAUUGCGUCCAAUAACGGUCAUAUGCUCCCAAGCGCUUAGUACAGCGCUGU